ensembl:snoRNA
CUUCUUGUGAUGAAAGUACUGUCCAGUUCUGCUACUGAAGGAAAGAGAUGAAUGCUUUCAGUGCUGAAGAAG